GAUGAACGCUGGCGGCGUGCCUAAUACAUGCAAGUCGAGCGAACGGACGAGAAGCUUGCUUCGCGUGUGUUAGCGGCGAACGGGUGAGUAACACGUGGAUAACCUACCUAUAAGACUGGGAUAACUUCGGAAAACCGGAGCUAAUACCGGAUAAGAUUGUGAGCCGCAUGGUUGGAGGUUGAAAGACUGUCUGGCUGUCACUUAGAGAUGGAUCCGCGCUGCUUUAGGUAGUUGGUGAGGUAACGGCUUACCAAGGCAACGAUGCAUAUCCGAACGGAGAGGGUGAUCCGGCACAAUAGAACUGAGACACGGUCCAGACUACAAAGGGAGGCAACAGUCGGGCAGCUUGCACCAUGGGCGAAAACUUGACAGAGCAACAACGCGUGAGUGAUGAAGGCAUUCGGAUCGUAAACCUCUGUUAUUAGGGAAGCACAUAUGUGCAAGUAACAGUGCACCUCGUGACGGUACCUACACAGAAAGCAACGGCUAACUACGUG
rnacentral:rRNA from 1 species